rnacentral:rRNA from 1 species
GACAGAGGGUGCAAACGUUGUUCGGAUUUACUGGGCGUAAAGCGCGUGUAGGCGGCUUGGCAAGUUGGAUGUGAAAGCCCACGGCUCAACCGUGGAAGCGCAUCCAAAACUGCUUCGCUCGAGUCUCGGAGAGGAAGGUGGAAUGCUUGGUGUAGAGGUGAAAUUCGUAGAUAUCAAGCAGAACACCUGCGGCGAAGGCGGCCUUCUGGACGAUGACUGACGCUGAGACGCGAAAGCGUGGGGGAGCAAACAGG